ACCAUUUGGACCCGUAGUCUGAAACCGGAUCGACGACCAAAUCGACACACGCAGCCUGACCUAGCGAGGAGCGCCUCCACCGCCUGCCGGCCACCGCCGCCAAACCGGGAUCUUCCGCCGCCGCCCGCCGCCCGACUGGAGCUUGGUCGCGGCCUUCCCAUCCAUCUGACACCCAUCCGUCCAGGUGCAGUGGAUCGCCGUCUUCCCCUCCCUGGCUGGAGCUUGGCCGCCGGUCACCGCUAUGACUCUACGGUUAGGGAUCGCCGCUGCCAUUGCCACUGGUUGGAGCUCGGCAGUUGAGGGUGGGACGCCGCCGAUCAAGAGGCCGCCACCGGUGACCGCUUGUCCUGAAAGUAUGGAGCUGCGGUAGGAUGUGAGUGGUGUAGCAAAGGAACAAGAGGGAGAGCAUACAUCAUAGUCCCUAGCUGAGGGUAUCAAGAAGAAAGCCAGGGUAGAAGAAACCAUUCAGAAAAGGGAGAUCAAGUCCAGCAACUAUGUAAAAUUCAUUCUGUAACUGAGUUAACAUUCAGCAACUAUGUAAAAUUCCAUUGUCACAUCCAUUCUGUGUAAUAAUUCUAGACCCCAUACUGUAACAUCCAACGGCUAUUUAGCUAGUCAGCAAGCUAUCCUUUUCCUAGUAAAACUGGUUUGCUACUCUUA